rnacentral:rRNA from 1 species
AACGAACGCUGGCGGCAGGCUUAACACAUGCAAGUCGAACGCGCCCUUCGGGGCGAGUGGCAGACGGGUGAGUAACGCGUGGGAACCUACCUUUUGGUACGGAAUAACUCAGGGAAACUUGAGCUAAUACCGUAUGUGCCCUUAUCUUUGAUCGGGUUUGGGGAAAGAUUCAUCGCCAAAGGAUGGGCCCGCGUCGGAUUAGCUAGUUGGUGGGGUAACGGCCUACCAAGGCGACGAUCCGUAGCUGGUCUGAGAGGAUGACCAGCCACACUGGGACUGAGACACGGCCCAGACUCCUACGGGAGGCAGCAGUGGUGAAUAUUGGGCAAUGGGGGCAACCCUGAUCCAGCCAUGCCGCGUGAGUGAUGAAGGCCUUAGGGUUGUAAAGCUCUUUCGCCGGUGAAGAUAAUGACGGUAACCGGAGAAGAAGCCCCGGCUAACUUCGUGCCAGCCGCCGCAGUAACAC